GACGUGCUAAUCUGCGAUAAGCGUCGGUAAGGUGAUAUGAACCGUUAUAACCGGCGAUUUCCGAAUGGGGAAACCCAGUGUGAUUCGUCACACUAUCAUUAACUGAAUCCAUAGGUUAAUGAGGCGAACCGGGGGAACUGAAACAUCUAAGUACCCCGAGGAAAAGAAAUCAACCGAGAUUCCCCCAGUAGCGGCGAGCGAACGGGGAGCAGCCCAGAGCCUGAAUCAGUGUGUGUGUUAGUGGAAGCGUCUGGAAAGGCGUGCGAUACAGGGUGACAGCCCCGUACACAAAAAUGCACAUACUGUGAGCUCGAUGAGUAGGGCGGGACACGUGGUAUCCUGUCUGAAUAUGGGGGGACCAUCCUCCAAGGCUAAAUACUCCUGACUGACCGAUAGUGAACCAGUACCGUGAGGGAAAGGCGAAAAGAACCCCGGCGAGGGGAGUGAAAAAGAACCUGAAACCGUGUACGUACAAGCAGUGGGAGCACGCUUAGGCGUGUGACUGCGUACCUUUUGUAUAAUGGGUCAGCGACUUAUAUUCUGUAGCAAGGUUAACCGAAUAGGGGAGCCGAAGGGAAACCGAGUCUUAACUGGGCGUUAAGUUGCAGGGUAUAGACCCGAAACCCGGUGAUCUAGCCAUGGGCAGGUUGAAGGUUGGGUAACACUAACUGGAGGACCGAACCGACUAAUGUUGAAAAAUUAGCGGAUGACUUGUGGCUGGGGGUGAAAGGCCAAUCAAACCGGGAGAUAGCUGGUUCUCCCCGAAAGCUAUUUAGGUAGCGCCUCGUGAAUUCAUCUCCGGGGGUAGAGCACUGUUUCGGCAAGGGGGUCAUCCCGACUUACCAACCCGAUGCAAACUGCGAAUACCGGAGAAUGUUAUUACGGGAGACACACGGCGGGUGCUAACGUCCGUCGUGAAGAGGGAAACAACCCAGACCGCCAGCUAAGGUCCCAAAGUCAUGGUUAAGUGGGAAACGAUGUGGGAAGGCCCAGACAGCCAGGAUGUUGGCUUAGAAGCAGCCAUCAUUUAAAGAAAGCGUAAUAGCUCACUGGUCGAGUCGGCCUGCGCGGAAGAUGUAACGGGGCUAAACCAUGCACCGAAGCUGCGGCAGCGACGCUUAUGCGUUGUUGGGUAGGGGAGCGUUCUGUAAGCCUGUGAAGGUGUGCUGUGAGGUAUGCUGGAGGUAUCAGAAGUGCGAAUGCUGACAUAAGUAACGAUAAAGCGGGUGAAAAGCCCGCUCGCCGGAAGACCAAGGGUUCCUGUCCAACGUUAAUCGGGGCAGGGUGAGUCGACCCCUAAGGCGAGGCCGAAAGGCGUAGUCGAUGGGAAACAGGUUAAUAUUCCUGUACUUGGUGUUACUGCGAAGGGGGGACGGAGAAGGCUAUGUUGGCCGGGCGACGGUUGUCCCGGUUUAAGCGUGUAGGCUGGUUUUCCAGGCAAAUCCGGAAAAUCAAGGCCGAGGCGUGAUGACGAGGCACUACGGUGCUGAAGCAACAAAUGCCCUGCUUCCAGGAAAAGCCUCUAAGCAUCAGGUAACAUCAAAUCGUACCCCAAACCGACACAGGUGGUCAGGUAGAGAAUACCAAGGCGCUUGAGAGAACUCGGGUGAAGGAACUAGGCAAAAUGGUGCCGUAACUUCGGGAGAAGGCACGCUGAUACGUAGGUGAAGCGACUUGCUCGUGGAGCUGAAAUCAGUCGAAGAUACCAGCUGGCUGCAACUGUUUAUUAAAAACACAGCACUGUGCAAACACGAAAGUGGACGUAUACGGUGUGACGCCUGCCCGGUGCCGGAAGGUUAAUUGAUGGGGUUAGCGCAAGCGAAGCUCUUGAUCGAAGCCCCGGUAAACGGCGGCCGUAACUAUAACGGUCCUAAGGUAGCGAAAUUCCUUGUCGGGUAAGUUCCGACCUGCACGAAUGGCGUAAUGAUGGCCAGGCUGUCUCCACCCGAGACUCAGUGAAAUUGAACUCGCUGUGAAGAUGCAGUGUACCCGCGGCAAGACGGAAAGACCCCGUGAACCUUUACUAUAGCUUGACACUGAACAUUGAGCCUUGAUGUGUAGGAUAGGUGGGAGGCUUUGAAGUGUGGACGCCAGUCUGCAUGGAGCCGACCUUGAAAUACCACCCUUUAAUGUUUGAUGUUCUAACGUGGACCCGUGAUCCGGGUUGCGGACAGUGUCUGGUGGGUAGUUUGACUGGGGCGGUCUCCUCCUAAAGAGUAACGGAGGAGCACGAAGGUUGGCUAAUCCUGGUCGGACAUCAGGAGGUUAGUGCAAUGGCAUAAGCCAGCUUGACUGCGAGCGUGACGGCGCGAGCAGGUGCGAAAGCAGGUCAUAGUGAUCCGGUGGUUCUGAAUGGAAGGGCCAUCGCUCAACGGAUAAAAGGUACUCCGGGGAUAACAGGCUGAUACCGCCCAAGAGUUCAUAUCGACGGCGGUGUUUGGCACCUCGAUGUCGGCUCAUCACAUCCUGGGGCUGAAGUAGGUCCCAAGGGUAUGGCUGUUCGCCAUUUAAAGUGGUACGCGAGCUGGGUUUAGAACGUCGUGAGACAGUUCGGUCCCUAUCUGCCGUGGGCGCUGGAGAACUGAGGGGGGCUGCUCCUAGUACGAGAGGACCGGAGUGGACGCAUCACUGGUGUUCGGGUUGUCAUGCCAAUGGCACUGCCCGGU
rnacentral:rRNA from 1 species